AUUGCCUUAAAUGUACUUAAUGUCUAGUUUGAAAACUUUGGUGGUUGGUGAACAAGUCAUAUCCAUUCUAGAUGAAUGAUGCAAACGUUUUUUAUCUUACAGCAUGGUGUGAUAAUGUAAAAAUGUGUUUUCCCUUAGAGCUGAUUGCAGUCAUGAAAUGUACUUUUUUUGGCCUAGAUUAUAUCUGUCAUGAAUAAAUUAGCUUAAUUGUAACUUAGCUCCAUGUAUGGUUUCUUAAAUAUCAGUGAGGCAUAUGAAAUGUGUUUCAUCAGCCAUAACAAAUUUGUCAUUCUCUUAAAAGGGAAGGAGCUGUGACGGAUGCAUACCAACCUUUGACUACUAUACACUUGAGAAAGGUCAUUGACAUCACCGAAUCAAAGGGACAAAAUGGGAAGGCCUUAGACGGCAGCAAAGAGCACAGUACCAUCAUAAAUAAAAGCUCGGAGAGCAAGAUUGCUGCAAGCUCUGAAAGCACAACCUUGUAUGACCUUGUCUACAUCCUUUUGGCUGCUUGGCUAUUUGUGUACUGCCUUCUUGUGCUGCCUCAGAUUGACUCAAGAACGCUUCCUAAACUCCUCUUCAACAUAGAUGAGUGACUGCAAUAUUAACACACAAGACAAUGAAUUCUCACACCUACAACUCUGAUCACGUCCUUCUAGUUAAGGAAUAAUUCACCUGAAAAUUAAGGUACAGACAUUCUGAUAAAGAUUUCAUUUAUGUUCAGUGGAACAUACAUGAGGGUGAGUAAAUGAUGACAGAAUGAAUUUUCUUCGUUUGAGUAUUUUUGAGUGAACUAUUAACAUGAACCAGGAAUAAAUAAAAAAGUUUGAAAAAUUGGCCAUGUUGAUCAGCUUAGGUGCCUUUCUAUUUCCUUUCACACAUGCACACAAAGAAAAAGUGUUUUUUCUCUUUUAGAUGGAGGGUUUUUGUUUUCGGUCAACUUUUAACUGGGUAAUAUUUGGAUGCAUUAGGUGCACAUGCAGCACAAUUACAUAACAGAUAUACCAGAUUAUUUAUAAUGCUUCUGAAGAACAUGCUUUUUGGCCUUCUAUUUUGUUUGUGCAUACACUAUAUGAAGAAAAAGUAUCUGUCAGACUGUGCAGCUGUUUGUUUAAUGUAAGAGAAGGUAUUUGGUAUGCUUUAAGCUAUUAUGCUAUGAGAUUUUGAAUGUAUUUUUUUUAAGUGAUCACAUUAGAUAUACCCCUUUAUUUUUUGCGUUAUAUAGUAAAAAUGAAGGCUUUUCAGCACAGCAUGCUUUGAUUAUAUUCCAAUUACAUUUUUGAUAAAAUAAGGUCAGGGUAUUAUGGUAUUAAGAAAUAUCAUAUAGGGCUCUCUUAGUUAAGGGACACUUUAACAUAGUAUCAACAGCACUUUUUUUAACUCAAGAAAAGAACUGCCAAAGAUUCAGUUAAAGAUACUGAAACCUAUCCCCAACACAGUGAACAAAUUAUGAAUUAGCCUAUUAUUUUAGUAAUAAAUCCUGCACUUACAGUAUAUUUUAUGCAAACUACAAAAUGCAAGAGCACACAAAAAUCUAUCACAUUUAUUGGUCAUUUUACACAUUUAUAAAUACAAUAUAUUGACUGAAUUUGUCAUAUUUUGGACGCUGAAGGUUUUAGUGGUGGUUUUUAGGUCUUUGGGCUGGUAUAAAUCCUAAAACUGAAGGAUUUAAUCUGAACCUGUGAGGCCUGUAAUAUGUUGUAAAAAAAAAAAAUAAAAUCUUAUAUUUUCUUAAAUUGUAAGCUGAUAUUUACAGUAAAGAGCACAGACUGGCUGCAUGAUCAUAGCAAAUAAAAGUGAACUCUGGACAAAACCAGAAUGUUACUGCAUCCUGAUUUAUUUCUAAGCAAAAUAUGUCCAAUAUUGCAAACAAGCCAAACUUUCUGCAUGAGAAUGUGUAUGGAAAGUAACUUGUGUCUUUAACAUUUUUAAAAGUCACUAAGUGUAUCCAUGUCCUGCUUUUGUAAUGAAAAUUGUUACAUUUUCAUGUUUAAAUGCACUGGAGUGCAAUAAAUGAUAUAUCAUUUGGUUGCCAUAACUGUUAAUUGUGUGUUUUAGCAUGUCCUA
ensembl:lncRNA